rnacentral:lncRNA from 1 species
UGUCCUCUAGUAUUCUUCUGUCUGGAGAUGGGAAAAAGAUGUGCUAAAUCCUUUGCCUUGCUGCGGAGAAUGGUCAUAUUCAAUUUUUCGGGGACAUUUAUUUGCAAUGUAGUUUUCCUAUGACAAGUAUUUAAAAAAAAAAAGAAGUUUAGCAUGAAAAAGUGUCGGACUACUUUUCACAGCUUCAUUUGUCUUUCAGGAAUGUAUAUUUUACCCAAAUUUGAGCACUGAAAUGCAUUGGAAGAUGUGGAAUUUUAUUGAGUGAAAACAGCACUAAGAUAUUGUUUUUUCCCGGAAAUAGUGAUUAUAAAUUUUAUUGAGUGAAAACAGCACUAAGAUGGUGCAUAAAAAAAGGAAAAAGGUCCAAAAUUGUUCAAUCUACUAUAGUAUAUUGUUUACUUGACAGCCGUUAUAUUUUUUUGUUCAAAUCUAUUCCUACCGUUAAUAAAAUUUGUAUAAUUGCCUCUAACCCUAACGUCCGGCUCCUCUAAUGUCCAUGUCAGCAACCAAGUCAACAGGUCCCACCAAAUAAAAUGCCAUGUCAGCAUUGAAAGUAAUUUAAUCCUCAAAUAAAUUAUGUUUCUUUAUCAAAAUUAGAAAAAGAUAAAAAACAAAAUUUUCUAAUUUAAUAAAAGCAAUAACUACUUUGAGAUUUCACUCACUUUGAGAGAACAAAGGGGCGGCGCCCUUCUUCCUCUUCUCUGCCAGUGAUCGCCGCCGCCGGAUUUGGUCAUCGGCUGGCCGGCGGACCUUCGUAGCAGGUGCUCGUCCAUCUUUCAUAUGCUCAGCCGUUAUUCCCCCUUUAUUUUCGUUCAUCCGGCCAUGCUGCCAGAAUCCGGUGACUGUCACCACGCGUUCACUGGCGUUACCUUGCCGGAAAUAGAUGAAUAUGGCCGUCCUUUGCGAUGUGGUUUGGUUCAGUAUGCAGAUCCGACAGAUCUAUGACUAAAAUUUUCUCCGGCUUUCAGAUCUACACCACCACCGGCCAGGCCCGGUGGUGAACGAUUCGUCGGCGACCAUAUAUUGUCAUACUCUCAUUCUUAUAAAUUUGCAAGCAAAAUUUCAGGUGGUACUGUAACCGCAACUUUAUAUAAACCUAAGCUAUUGAUAAGCCCACUACUGUCAGCUCUUCACGUGAGGACAACUUCAGUUCAAACUCAUAACAGACAUAUGAAGAAGAUGAUGAAGGUUGGCGUAGGUCCCACAUUUGCUUUGGUUGGUUGUUUAUGAUUUCAAUAAGUUUUGGGGGUAAUGUGAUCGGGUAAUAGUUUAAAUUUUAGGACGGAUUGAUCAAAGUUCAAUUUUUUUUGGAAACCCAAAUCAAGAAUUUAAUAUGGCCCAUCACUCAAUUCAAGCUUGAGAAUUAAAUCGAAUUUUUUUCAGCAAAACCAUAUGUGAGAUUGGAUUAGGAAACCCAAUGCUGACAUGGCAUUUUAUUUGGUGGGACCUGCUGACAUAUACAAAAUAUUAGAGAGGUCAGCUAGCACAGUGGAGAGACGUUAGACUUAGCGACGAAAAGUGUAACGGGGCAUUUAUUCAAAAUUUGUUAAAGGUAGGUAUAGAUUUGGACGAUGUAACAGGGC